rnacentral:rRNA from 1 species
ACCGGCGGCUCGAGUGGUGGCCACUAUUACUGGGCUUAAAGCGUCCGUAGCUUGAUUGUUAAGUCUCUUGGGAAAUCCACCGGCUCAACCGAUGGGCGUUCAGGAGAAACUGGCAAUCUAGGGACCGGGAGAGGUGAGAGGUACUCCAGGGGUAGGAGUGAAAUCUUGUAAUCCUUGGGGGACCACCUGUGGCGAAGGCGUCUCACUAGAACGGCUCCGACAGUGAGGGACGAAAGCUGGGGGAGCAAACCG